rnacentral:rRNA from 1 species
AAUAUUGGACAAUGGGCGAAAGCCUGAUCCAGCCAUGCCGCGUGUGUGUAGAAGGUCUUCGGAUUGUAAAGCACUUUAAGUUGGGGGGAAGGGCAGUAAGUUAAUACCUUGCUGUUUUGACGUUACUGACAGAAUAAGCACCGGUUAACUUCGUGCCAGCAGCCGCGGUAAUACGAAGGGUGCAAGCGUUAAACGGAAUUAUUGGGCGUAAAGCGCGCGUAGGUGGUUUGUUAAGUUGGAAGUGAAAGCCCCGGGCUUAACCUGGGAAUUGCUUUCAAAACUGACGAGCUAGAGUACGGUAGAGGGUAGUAGAAUUUCCUGUGUAGCGGUGAAAUGCGUAGAUAUAGGAAGGAACAUCAGUGGCGAAGGCGACUACCUAGACUGAUACUGACACUGAGGUGCGAAAGCGUGGGGAGCAAACAGG